UACGCAGGGGGCUAGCGUUGCUCGGAAUCACUGGGCGUAAAGGGUGCGUAGGCGGGUCUUUAAGUCAGGGGUGAAAUCCUGGAGCUCAACUCCAGAACUGCCUUUGAUACUGAAGAUCUUGAGUUCGGGAGAGGUGAGUGGAACUGCGAGUGUAGAGGUGGAAUUCGUAGAUAUUCGCAAGAACACCAGUGGCGAAGGCGGCUCACUGGCCCGAUACUGACGCUGAGGCACGAAAGCGUGGGGAGCAAACAGG
rnacentral:rRNA from 1 species